UACAGAGGGUGCGAGCGUUAAUCGGAAUUACUGGGCGUAAAGCGCGCGUAGGCGGCUUUGCAAGUCGGGUGUGAAAUCCCCAGGCUUAACCUGGGAACUGCAUUCGAGACUGCAUUGCUAGAGUAUGGGAGAGGGAAGUGGAAUUUCCGGUGUAGCGGUGAAAUGCGUAGAUAUCGGGAGGAACACCUGUGGCGAAAGCGGCUCACUGGACCACAACUGACGCUGAGGCGCGAAAGCUAGGGGAGCGAACAGG
rnacentral:rRNA from 1 species